rnacentral:rRNA from 1 species
AAACAUGUCUUAAAGAAAAUAAUUUUAAGUCUGAUCUGCUCCAUGAUUUAAAUUAUUAAAUAGCUGCAGUAAUUUGACUGUACAAAGGUAGCAUAAUCAAUAGUUUUUUAAUUGAAAGCUGGAAUGAAUGAUUUAAUAAAGUAAAAAUUGUCUCAAUUUAAAUAAAAUUAAAAUUUUUUUUUAAGUAAGAAUACUUAAUUAAUUUUAAAAGACGAGAAGACCCUAUAGAUUUUAAUAUUUUUAAUUUAAUAAAUUUAAAUUAUUCAAUAAAAUUUUAAUAUGAAAUAUUUGAUUGGGGAAAUUAUUAAAUUUAUUAAAUUUUAAUAAUAUAUAAACUAUAAUUAUAGAUUAAUUGAUCUUAUUUUUUAAAUUUAGAGAAUAAAAUACCUUAGGGAUAACAGCGUAAUUUUUUUGGAGAGUUCUUAUUGAUAAAAAAGUUUGCGACCUCGAUGUUGAAUUAAGAUAAAAUUUUAAUGUAGAAGUUAAAAAUUUUUGGUCUGUUCGACCAUAAAAAUCUUACAUGAUCUGAGUUCAAACCGGAGA